rnacentral:misc_RNA from 1 species
GUAGGUGAACCUGCGGAAGGAUCAUUAACACGUAUCCAACGUUAAACCCCCCUGUGAACCUUCAGCGUGCUCUUUUGACCCGUUGACGCAGCAAUUCCUGGUAAAUCAUGGUGAACAGCUUUGAUUCAGGGACCUCUGCACAAUGAGAAGUUACAGUCAAAAUUUUGAGCGCUAGAGUCAGUGGCCCGGUUUCCCCAAGCAACCAGUGUCUGAAAGUGUCGCUGGAAGUGUAAGGAGAACGCUUUACGAU